rnacentral:rRNA from 1 species
CGAGGACUUCGGUCCUAGCGGCGGACGGGUGAGUAACGCGUGGGAACGUGCCCUUUGCUACGGAAUAGCCCUGGGAAACUGGGAGUAAUACCGUAUGUGCCCUUUGGGGGAAAGAUUUAUCGGCAAAGGAUCGGCCCGCGUUGGAUUAGGUAGUUGGUGGGGUAAUGGCCUACCAAGCCGACGAUCCAUAGCUGGUUUGAGAGGAUGAUCAGCCACACUGGGACUGAGACACGGCCCAGACUCCUACGGGAGGCAGCAGUGGGGAAUCUUAGACAAUGGGCGCAAGCCUGAUCUAGCCAUGCCGCGUGAGCGAUGAAGGCCUUAGGGUUGUAAAGCUCUUUCAGCGAGGAAGAUAAUGACUGUACUCGCAGAAGAAGCCCCGGCUAACUCCGUGCCAGCAGCCGCGGUAAUACGGAGGGGGCUAGCGUUGUUCGGAAUUACUGGGCGUAAAGCGCACGUAGGCGGACUGGAAAGUCAGGGGUGAAAUCCCGGGGCUCAACCCCGGAACUGCCUUUGAAACUCCCAGUCUUGAGGUCGAGAGAGGUGAGUGGAAUUCCGAGUGUAGAGGUGAAAUUCGUAGAUAUUCGGAGGAACACCAGUGGCGAAGGCGGCUCACUGGCUCGAUACUGACGCUGAGGUGCGAAAGCGUG